rnacentral:rRNA from 1 species
CAGCCGCCGCGGUAAUACGAAGGGGGCUAGCGUUGUUCGGAUUUACUGGGCGUAAAGCGCACGUAGGCGGAUUUUUAAGUCAGGGGUGAAAUCCCAAGGCUCAACCUUGGAACUGCCUUUGAUACUGGGGAUCUUGAGUCCGGGAGAGGUGAGUGGAACUGCGAGUGUAGAGGUGAAAUUCGUAGAUAUUCGCAAGAACACCAGUGGCGAAGGCGGCUCACUGGCCCGGAACUGACGCUGAGGUGCGAAAGCGUGGGGAGCAAACAGGAUUAGAUACCCCGGUAGUCCCUGUCUCUUAUAA